rnacentral:rRNA from 1 species
GACGAACGCUGGCGGCGUGCUUAACACAUGCAAGUCGAACGGUAAGGCCCGGUUCUUGUGGCGUGCUCGAGUGCCGAGCGGGUGAGUAUCACGUGUGUGGCAUCUGCUUGACUUUGGGGUAAAUUCUGGAAACUGGGGCGCAUAUAGGGCAUAAACUCUUUCUGCAUGGGGUGUGUGGUAGAAUGUUGGCGGUUGGGGAUGGAAUCGCGGCUUAUCAGAGUGUUGGUGGGGUAGUGGGUUACAAGGGCUUUGAGGGGUUGCCGGACUGCGGGGGUGACCGGCCACAUUGGGACUGAGAUACGGACCAGACUUCUACGGGGGGCAGCGGUGGGGAAUAUUGCACAAUGGGCGGAGGCCUGAUGCAGCAACGCCGCAUGCGGGAUGACGGCCUUCGGGUUGUAACCCGCUUUCGCCUGUGACGAAGCGUGAGUGACGGUAAUGGGUCAAGAAGCGCCGGCUAACUACGUG